UAACCUGCCUGUAAGACUGGGAUAACUCCGGGAAACCGGGGCUAAUACCGGAUGGUUGUUUGAACCGCAUGGUUCAGACAUAAAAGGUGGCUUCGGCUACCACUUACAGAUGGACCCGCGGCGCAUUAGCUAGUUGGUGAGGUAACGGCUCACCAAGGCGACGAUGCGUAGCCGACCUGAGAGGGUGAUCGGCCACACUGGGACUGAGACACGGCCCAGACUCCUACGGGAGGCAGCAGUAGGGAAUCUUCCGCAAUGGACGAAAGUCUGACGGAGCAACGCCGCGUGAGUGAUGAAGGUUUUCGGAUCGUAAAGCUCUGUUGUUAGGGAAGAACAAGUGCCGUUCAAAUAGGGCGGCACCUUGACGGUACCUAACCAG
rnacentral:rRNA from 1 species